rnacentral:rRNA from 1 species
GAUGAACGCUGGCGGCGUGCCUAAUACAUGCAAGUCGAGCGAACGGACGAGAAGCUUGCUUCUCUGAUGUUAGCGGCGGACGGGUGAGUAACACGUGGAUAACCUACCUAUAAGACUGGGAUAACUUCGGGAAACCGUAGCUAAUACCGGAUAAUAUUUUGAACCGCAUGGUUCAAAAGUGAAAGACGGUCUUGCUGUCACUUAUAGAUGGAUCCGCGCUGCAUUAGCUAGUUGGUAAGGUAACGGCUUACCAAGGCAACGAUGCAUAGCCGACCUGAGAGGGUGAUCGGCCACACUGGAACUGAGACACGGUCCAGACUCCUACGGGAGGCAGCAGUAGGGAAUCUUCCGCAAUGGGCGAAAGCCUGACGGAGCAACGCCGCGUGAGUGAUGAAGGUCUUCGGAUCGUAAAACUCUGUUAUUAGGGAAGAACAUAUGUGUAAGUAACUGUGCACAUCUUGACGGUACCUAAUCAGAAAGCCACGGCUAACUACGUGCCAGCAGCCGCGGUAAUACGUAGGUGGCAAGCGUUAUCCGGAAUUAUUGGGCGUAAAGCGCGCAUAGGCGGUUUUUUAAGUCUGAUGUGAAAGCCCACGGCUCAACCGUGGAGGGUCAUUGGAAACUGGAAAACUUGAGUGCAGAAGAGGAAAGUGGAAUUCCAUGUGUAGCGGUGAAAUGCGCAGAGAUAUGGAGGAACACCAGUGGCGAAGGCGACUUUCUGGUCUGUAACUGACGCUGAUGUGCGAAAGCGUGGGGAUCAAACAGGAUUAGAUACCCUGGUAGUCCACGCCGUAAACGAUGAGUGCUAAGUGUUAGGGGGUUUCCGCCCCUUAGUGCUGCAGCUAACGCAUUAAGCACUCCGCCUGGGGAGUACGACCGCAAGGUUGAAACUCAAAGGAAUUGACGGGGACCCGCACAAGCGGUGGAGCAUGUGGUUUAAUUCGAAGCAACGCGAAGAACCUUACCAAAUCUUGACAUCCUUUGACAACUCUAGAGAUAGAGCCUUCCCCUUCGGGGGACAAAGUGACAGGUGGUGCAUGGUUGUCGUCAGCUCGUGUCGUGAGAUGUUGGGUUAAGUCCCGCAACGAGCGCAACCCUUAAGCUUAGUUGCCAUCAUUAAGUUGGGCACUCUAAGUUGACUGCCGGUGACAAGCCGGAGGAAGGUGGGGAUGACGUCAAAUCAUCAUGCCCCUUAUGAUUUGGGCUACACACGUGCUACAAUGGACAAUACAAAGGGCAGCGAAACCGCGAGGUCAAGCAAAUCCCAUAAAGUUGUUCUCAGUUCGGAUUGUAGUCUGCAACUCGACUACAUGAAGCUGGAAUCGCUAGUAAUCGUAGAUCAGCAUGCUACGGUGAAUACGUUCCCGGGUCU